rnacentral:antisense_RNA from 1 species
ACAAAAAACAUAAAAAUUAGCUGGAUGUGGUGGCACAUGCCUGUAGUCCAGCCACUCAGGAAGCUGAGGUAGAUAACCUGCGCCCAGGAGGUCAAGGCUGCGGUGAGCCAUGAUCCAUAUGCCAGUGUACUCCAGCCUGGUGAUAGAGUGAGACCCUGUCUCAAAAAAUAAAUAAAAGAAAGAUUUAAGCAUAUCCUGGGGUAAGGGACUAGAAAAAAGCCGAAGUAUUACCAGCUAAAUCAAAACCCUUAUUUUAAAAAAGUAGUUACCAUUUGAACAUCCAACUUAACUACAAAAUUCAUCUUUUGUUCACUAUCUAGCACCUCUAAAAGUCAAAAUAAGGACUCUGACUUUGAAGAUGUCUGAAGUAGUCUACAAAUGUAAAUGAACCUAUACAUAUGUACACCUA